rnacentral:sRNA from 1 species
AUCCAAAGCCCAUGCAGUCGCACAGAUUGUGUGAGUGAAGUCAUAGUGUUCUUUGCUUCUUUCUUCUGUUUCUGACCUCUGCAGAUGUAGAUGAAUGCUCAGAAAACAGAUGUCACCCUGCAGCUACCUGCUACAAUACUCCUGGUUCCUUCUCCUGCCGUUGUCAACCCGGAUAUUAUGGGGAUGGAUUUCAGUGCAUACCUGACUCCACCUCAAGCCAGACACCCUGUGAACAACAGCAGCGCCAUGCCCAGGCCCCCGACCAUCUGUGAGCGCUGGAGGGAAAACCUGCUGGAGCACUACGGUGGCACCCCCCGGGAUGACCAGUACGUGCCCCAGUGCGAUGACCUGGGCCACUUCAUCCCCCUGCAGUGCCACGGAAAGAGCGACUUCUGCUGGUGUGUGGACAAAGAUGGCAGAGAGGUGCAGGGCACCCGCUCCCAGCCAGGCACCACCCCUGCGUGUAUACCCACCGUCGCUCCACCCAUGGUCCGGCCCACGCCCCGGCCAGAUGUGACCCCUCCAUCUGUGGGCACCUUCCUGCUCUAUACUCAGGGCCAGCAGAUUGGCUACUUACCCCUCAAUGGC